rnacentral:lncRNA from 1 species
CAGGUUGGCUAUCUACUGGCCCGCCCAUUCCAAGCCAGAAGUUGAACCUUGUGGCUCGAGCUUGGUGAGGGCCAUAUACAUGAAGAAGACUUGCGAGAGAAAGAAGGAAGGAAAAAAAAAAAACGUGUUUUUUUGUUGUUGUUGAGAAAAUGGAUUUCAUUAACACAUCAAGAUCACAAUACAAGGUGUGACAACGUGCACACAAGGUGGUC